rnacentral:rRNA from 1 species
UAGUCAUAUGCUUGUCUCAAAGAUUAAGCCAUGCAUGUCCAAGUAUAAGCUCUUGUACGGUGAAACUGCGAAUGGCUCAUUAAAUCAGUUAUAGUUUAUUUGAAGGUGCUCUACUAUAUGGAUAACCGUGGUAAUUCCAGAGCUAAUACAUGCAAAAGUGCCCGACCUUGCGGAAGGGCAGUAUUUAUUAGAUACAAACCGACGCGGCGCAAGCCGGCACAGAGGUGAUUCAUGGUAACUGUGAGAUCGCUGCGCAGCAGCGACGGUUCAUUCAAAUU